UGCUGGAGAGCACGUCUUGCCAACUGCCGUCGACCGGGUCUCCUCGCCUCUCGAUCUCUAGCCGGAAUGGCCUCAUGCCUUUUAUAGGAAUUGGCCUCGCGGACGACAACAUCGUGGACGAGCAGGAUGUUUCUGCUCCUGUUCUUCCACGCGCCAGGCUUUAACGGAAAACACCGGUUCGCAGAACUCCGCCAUCAGAUGUCUGCUCGUCAUUCCUGGUCCCUUCGACGCAUUUGUCCCAAACAGUAUCCCUCCCAAACACCGGUCCCCCAGUUUCUGGUGUUGGGUAAUGUAGUGGACCAGCAGUAGAAACUCGAUAGUACUCGCUCGCGUGGGUUUGGAAAAGGCUGCCAGGAGUCAUGUCGCAUUUAAUUGCGGACGAGGUGACGUGGCAGAAAUCCCCCCCUCCAUUUGAAUUUCAAACCGACGGUUACGGGAUUCUCGGAAUAUGCGUCAUUAAAUGCUGGCAGCCCAAGAGUUUGCUUCUCAGUAAGGAAACCCAAAAUCUUCAAACACGAACUCGUCAUUUUCUCCAUUCUUGUCUCUCCGGCGAAUGAACCUCGGCGCCAAAGCUGUCAUCCCUGUCUCUCUCUGACCGAGUCCCUGCUUCAGGUAUUUCUUCUAUUUUUUUUCGGUAUUGGUUAGUUGUAGGUAAUUUCCUUUCUCUCUGCUUUGCUUGAGGUUGUAGUUGGCGGUGGUGUUUUGGUUAGAACUUAGGAUAUGUCGAAGGGUAAGGAGAAGGUCGUUGAGGUUGGUGACGACGAACUAGGUUUUUUGCCUAGUCUGCCCGCUGAUUUUGCUUUUGAUCCCG
rnacentral:lncRNA from 1 species